AGUCAACCGCGGCCUCCGGGCCGUCGGCAGCGGUAGGCCGAUAGCCGCGUCAGUGAGAGCCCAGCACCCGACAUGAAGUGAGAGUAGUGCCGUCAUGCGGCCCGCGCUGCAGCUGUUAGUGCUGCUCUGCCACAUCGCCGCUGUACCGGCAGAUGUGGACGGCAUGCAGUGUUACAGCUGCGGCGGCCUCGUCUCUGACCAGCCCGGUCGCAGCUGCGCCGAGUUCGACGAGGCGCUCUCCUGGUCCCUGUUUGUGGUCACCUGUCCCGAAGACCACAUUUGUGUCAAGACAUCGUCCCUCUACAGCGGCGAGUUCCGCGGCUGCGGCGCCCGGCAGUCGUGGUACGGACUCAAACACGAGCUCGGCUGUCGCGAGGCAGACAUGCCCGACAGCCAGACGCAGUUCUGUUUCUGCGACACUCCGCUCUGUAACGCGGCGCCGUCCCAACGGACCGCUCCCGGCCUCGGCACAGUGCUAACUGUGGCAGUGAUGGCAGCAGCCGGGGCGGGUGUUCUCAGGCCACAUCGGUGACACGAACAGAUCGCCCCAGAGGGACAUAAGGACGACCGCAGCCCGAGCUUGCUAAAACUGCCGACAAGGACCCAACGGUGACAUGUAUCGCCGUGGUCAGAGAGUGUAAGACAGGAGUGACAACCAGUCUACUACACUCACAGUCUACAGACACCGAGCAAAGGGACCGCCUAAGGCAGGCGCCGUGGGCGGCGGCUGCGUGGGAGAGGAGUGUGAAUCACCUCGGGCGACCACCGCCCCCACAGCAGGACAGCGAACCACGGGGUGGCCAGAGGCGCGACGGACAUAAUGUGACAGCGAAACUGGCAUUAACACGUGACAGUGACGGCUGACGGCUGUCACGGAAUACCAUCCACACAGUCGUUCCUCACACAUUGUGUGAGACACAAUCCACAGCUGAAACCGAGGCAUACUCGUAAGAGUCAUAAGUCACUACUGUGAAGCGGUGAUGUAAGCCACGCCACAGCCCGGUCGUGCCGCUCUGGGGGUUUGACUCUGAAUAAUGCGGGCACGGAUCAUAUCGCUAGGGGGUCUGAAUAAUGCGGUAUACCCAGAACGACACUGGGCGACUAGUGUCACCGACCACCCCCGCCGCCCCACGUGGUGCAGCGGGGGGGGGGGGCGGGUCGGGGUGGCGGGGCGGAUACAAAAACGUGAUAGCGGUGCGCCCAGUGACGAUAUCAGCUGACCUGCGGUUUGCAGUGGGCACCACCGAUCUAAUAUUCAGUCACACUGCACGCAGUGGUGAUGCAUUGCCAACAGUCAUAACCUCAGUGAUUGUGGUUGUUUUCGCCUCUACAAGUCAGUGUAUGUAUGCAUCCGUGUAUGAAGUUGGAUUUGAAGGGAGGGGCUUCUUGAUGACGCUUACGAAUAUAUGUGACAAUAACAGAACACAAACACACCAUUACUAACCGUGCGACACGCGUGAAAGCCAGCCCUCUCUCCACAUCAAAGCCCGCAGCCAACCCGACGCAGAUCGGACGUGCCUCCCGCUGAAUGUGCGCCAAACGAGCUGGCAGACCGGGCUCAACUAUGAGCAAUCUCCCCGAAAAAAUCUUCUCGGGAGCUAAACUAGGGUGUGGGAUAAACACCUUCGCUUGCCAGAGACAGGCUUACUCAGUUCGGCUGGGUUCGCUUGAUGACGUCAGAGGAGCGUCAUCAACGAUCUAAAAAAGGCAUCAACCGUCGAUAUGAACUACAGAAAGGAAAUGAAUCCAAAAAGCAUUAAUCCUCAGCUGAUGAAAACCGAGAUGAGCUCCGAAUGUACCAUAUAUGUAACCGGACAGAGGUCUGUGCCAGAAUCGCUAGCCCAAAUACCGCCAUAAAAUAGUCGAGCAUAAACGAACGUAUCUGCUGUGGUAAACACUGGGGUUUGAUUGCGGGCUCGCGUACUAAUUUAGCUGAUAAACGGUGACUGGCAAAUCUGGUCAAUAAUCACCGCCCGCGCGGCCAGUCAAUCGCAAAGUUAAUUGUCAUUUGAAAAGAACAGAGCUCCACGCACCAAGUCUAGAGGAGUUUUCAAUAGGAGAUGCUUGUGUCUUUGAAGUGAAUAAAUUGUUC